UCCUACGGGGGGCAGCAAUUAGGAAUCUUGCGCAAUGGGGGAAACCCUGACGCAGCGACGCCGCGUGAAUGAUGAAGUCUUUCGGGAUGUAAAGUUCUGUCCUACAGGGAAGAAUAAUGACGGUACCUGUAGAGAAAGCCCCGGCUAACUACGUGCCAGCAGCCGCGGUAAUACGUAGGGGGCGAGCGUUGUCCGAAUUUAUUGGGCGUAAAGCGCGUGUAGGCGGCUCUUUAAGUCAGAUGUGAAAUCCUGCGGCUCAACCGCAGAACUGCAUUUGAUACUGGAGGGCUUGAGUGUGGGAGAGGAAAGUGGAAUUCCAGGUGUAGCGGUGAAAUGCGUAGAUAUCUGGAGGAACACCCGUGGCGAAGGCGGCUUUCUGGCCCACCACUGACGCUGAGACGCGAAAGCUAGGGGAGCGAACGGGAUUAGAUACCCUAGUAC
rnacentral:rRNA from 1 species